rnacentral:lncRNA from 1 species
GAUUAAACCCAGGGGUGCUUAACCACUGAGCUAUGUCCCCAGCCCUUCUAAUUUUUUAUUUUAAGACAUGGUCUUGCUAAGUUGCUUAGAGCCACGCUUAGUUACUGAGACUGGCCUAGAACUGGCAAUCCCCCCGUCUCAGCUUCCCAAACCACUGGGAUUAUAGGCUUAUGCCACCUUUCCCAGCUGUUUUAAUUUUUUUUUUUUUUGUGGUGCUGAGGAUUGAACCCAGAGCCUUGUGCAUGUGAGGCAAGCACUCUACCAGCUGAGCUGUAUCCCCAGCCAUGUUUUUAUUUUUUAUUUUUAACCUGCUUUUUCAAAACAUCCUUCUCCUUAAUUUGCUUGUCAUCAGAAUGAUGUGUUUCCUAAAUCAACUUCUUUUCAUUCUGUUUAUUUAUCUGAAGGAACCAUUUUCUGAUAUUAUUAACCUCCUAGUCUUUAUUGCUGUAUUCUAAUUAAACCAGAACAUACUUUUAUAACAAGUUUUCUCCAUUUGUGUUAGUUUGGUUACAGCAACAAAAAGAUGCCUAUCUGGAUUUAUUUGAUGUACAGUUUCAGAAGUUGAAUCCAUGGUUGAUUCGCAGAAACAUGUCAGAGGAAAGCUGCUCAGCUCAUGGCAACCAGAAAGUAUGCAGGGAGGGUGGGGGAUAAAACCUUCCAGGGGAUGCCUCCUGUGACCUACUUCCCCUCUUUAUUACAUUCAACUGUCAGAUUCAUUUGAUAGAUUAUACCACUAAUGGCCCUUAUGAUCCUACCAUUGCCCACAACCCCUGCCACCCCUGAACCUUGCUGCACUGGAGAUCAUGCUUUCAAUACAUGAGCUUUUGGGUGGACAUUCUAGAUCCAAACCAUAGCACCAUUCCACCCCAGUUUGUUAUUGUUAACAUUUAUGUCAGCAUUAUCAACUAUGGGUGUUCAUCACCUCUUGGAUCUCACUAAUUAUCUUCUUUGAAAAGCUGCAGUUGAAAUGUCUUCCACCCUGUAACUGGUUCUACCUCCUAAAGCUUCUUUUUUCUUAAUAUCCUGAGCUGUGCUUGCUGCAAUCUGCUGCUCUCCAGAGUUUCUAGAGAACCCUCAAGAACAACAAAGCAUUCUGCCAACUAAUUUCAUCAUAAUGAAGUUCUUCUACAUUUCUAGAUUAAGUGCUAUGUUUCAAAGUUUAGAACACUAGCAUUAGCUACAAAAUUGUACCAAUUUUAUUGGUUAGGCAUAGGAAUUUUUGAACUUUUAAUUUUUUUGUAUCUAUUAUCAAUGAAGUUUAACAGUUUGCUAUAAUUAUUCAGCAUAACCCUAUACUUUUUAUUAGAAUUUAUUGGAAAAGAAGAUUUGAUCAGAAAACUAUUUUUAAAAAUACAUAAGGUGGGGGGCUGGGGUUGUGGAUCAGAGGUAGAGCGCUCGCCUAGCAUGUGUGAGGCACUGGGUUUGAUCCUCAGCACCACAUAAAUAUAAAAUAAAGAUAUUGUGUCCACCUAUAACUAAAAAAUAAAUAUUAAAAAAAAUACCUAAGGGGGCCACAUCAAUGUUUAUAGCAGCACAAUUCACAAUCGCUAAAUCGUGGAACCAGCCUAUAUACCCUUCAGUAGAUGAAUGGGUAAAAAAAAUGUGGCAUAUAUACACAAUGGAAUAUUACUCAGCAUUAAAAGAGAAUAAAAUCAUGGCAUUUACAGGAAAUGGAUGGAGUUGGAGAAUAGAAUGCUAAGUGAAGUAAGCCAAUUCCAAAAAACCAAAUGCCAAAUGUCUUCUUUGAUAUAAAUAUGCUGAUUCAUAAUGGGGAUGGGGUGGGGGAGCAUGGGAGGAAUACACAAACUCUAGAUAGGGAAAAAGGGACAGAGGGGAAGGAAAGAGGCAUGGGAGUAGGAAAGACAGUGGAAUGAGACGGACAUUGUUACCCUAAGUACAUGUAUGAAAACAUGAAUGGUGGGACUCUACUUUGUGUACAACCAGAGACAUGAAAAAUUGUCCUCUAUUUGUGUAAUAUGAAUUGAAUUGCAUUUUGCUGUCAU